UGCAAGUCGAGCGUGAACCCUACGAAUGAAACUUCGGUAGAUUUUGUAGGGGGAAAGCGGCGGACGGGUGAGUAUCGCGUAGGUAACCUGCCCUAUACUGGGGGAUAGCCUCGGGAAACCGGGAUUAAUACCUCAUAAAGCCAUGCUUUUGCAUGAGAGUAUGGCCAAAGAUUUAUCGGUAUAGGAUGGGCCUGCGUCUGAUUAGCUGGUUGGUAGGGUAACGGCCUACCAAGGCAACGAUCAGUAGCCGACCUGAGAGGGUGAUCGGCCACAUUGGAACUGAGACACGGUCCAAACUCCUACGGGAGGCAGCAGUGGGGAAUAUUGCACAAUGGGCGAAAGCCUGAUGCAGCAACGCCGCGUGAACGAAGAAGGCCUUUGGGUCGUAAAGUUCUGUCCAAGAGGAAGAUAAUGACGGUACUCUUGGAGGAAGCCCCGGCUAACUACGUGCCAGCAGCCGCGGUAAUACGGAGGAUCCGAGCGUUAUCCGGAAUUAUUGGGUUUAAAGGGUGCGUAGGCGGCUAUUUAAGUCAGAUGUGAAAGCCCGCAGCUUAACUGCGGAAUUGCAUUUGAAACUGGAGGGCUUGAGUGUCGGAGAGGGUAGUGGAAUUCCCAGUGUAGCGGUGAAAUGCGUAGAUAUUGGGAGGAACACCAGUGGCGAAGGCGACUGCCUGGACGAUAACUGACGCUGAGGCACGAAAGCUAGGGGAGCAAACAGGAUUAGAUACCCUGGUAGUCCUAGCCGUAAACGAUGGGUACUAGGUGUAGGUGGUUUCGAUACCAUCUGUGCCGUAGUUAACGCAUUAAGUACCCCGCCUGGGGAGUACGUGCGCAAGCAUGAAACUCAAAGGAAUUGACGG
rnacentral:rRNA from 1 species